GUGAAUCAUCAAAUUUUUGAACGCAAAUUGCGCUCUCUGGCAUUCCGGAAAGCAUGCCUGUUUGAGGGUCAGUUAAAUAAAAAUAGGCGUUGUUGCUGCUUUUCGUGGUGACCCGUCGGAAUUGAGAUGUCUUACGUUCGGUUAAGAGACUUAAGAUUUUGCAUGAUUUUCGAAAAUAAUUAAAUUUCUUACGUACGCUUGAGAUAUCG
rnacentral:misc_RNA from 1 species